rnacentral:rRNA from 2 species
UGUUCGCCCAUUAAAGCGGUACGCGAGCUGGGUUCAGAACGUCGUGAGACAGUUCGGUCCCUAUCCGUCGUGGGCGUAGGAAAUUUGAGAGGAGCUGUCCUUAGUACGAGAGGACCGGGAUGGACAUACCUCUGGUGUACCAGUUGUCGCGCCAGCGGCAUAGCUGGGUAGCUAUGUAUGGACGGGAUAAGUGCUGAAAGCAUCUAAGCAUGAAGCCCCCCUCAAGAUGAGAUUUCCCAACUUCGGUUAUAAGAUCCCUCAAAGAUGAUGAGGUUAAUAGGUUCGGGGUGUAAGCRCAGUAAUGUGUGUAGCUGACGAAUACUAAUCGAUCGAAGACUUAAUCAAAUUUUA